rnacentral:rRNA from 1 species
UCCGAGUGAGAGUGAACCAGCGGAGGGAUCAUUACCGAGUUUACAACUCCCAAACCCCUGUGAACAUACCUUAAUGUUGCCUCGGCGGAUCAGCCCGCGCCCCGUAAAACGGGACGGCCCGCCAGAGGACCCAAACUCUAAUGUUUCUUAUUGUAACUUCUGAGUAAAACAAACAAAUAAAUCAAAACUUUCAACAACGGAUCUCUUGGUUCUGGCAUCGAUGAAGAACGCAGCAAAAUGCGAUAAGUAAUGUGAAUUGCAGAAUUCAGUGAAUCAUCGAAUCUUUGAACGCACAUUGCGCCCGCUGGUAUUCCGGCGGGCAUGCCUGUUCGAGCGUCAUUUCAACCCUCAAGCCCCCGGGUUUGGUGUUGGGGAUCGGCUCUGCCUUCUGGCGGUGCCGCCCCCGAAAUACAUUGGCGGUCUCGCUGCAGCCUCCAUUGCGUAGUAGCUAACACCUCGCAACUGGAACGCGGCGCGGCCAUGCCGUAAAACCCCAACUUCUGAAUGUUGACCUCGGAUCAGGUAGGAAUACCCGCUGAACUUAAGCAUAUCAAUAAGCGAGGGAAA